CUGUGUGUGAGACUGAUGGCCCUGGACAUUUCCAGCACUGCCCUUCCCUUGGGAUUUUCCUAGACGAAGGGCCAAGAGCAAGCCUGGGGGCGGAAUCUGAAAAGGACACACGCAGGACACUCACUGGGCAGUAUCAGGUUUUCUAAGGACCCAUGGACACCUUGUAGGAGAGUCUCUGCCUAUUGGACCUGUCCCCCAUUUGACUGUGAACACCCCCUCCAUACAGGCCCAGAAGCUUCCAGCCUCCCCAUGGACAUUCAUAGCAAUUGGUAAACCCCACAUCUUUGCAAGAAGUGGGAUCCCAAAGUCACCUGGAGAAGCUCCCUAAGAGAAGCUCCCAUCUGAGAAAGGCCUUGAGACAAGAUGAAAAACGGCCGAAGGAACCUGUAGCCUUGGUGCUGCCAGAGCCACUGAACCCCCACAGAAUGUUCUCCUCACCACUCCUCUCUGGAUACCAUGUUUGCUUUUAGGGAGGCUGGCUUAGAAACCAUCAGUCUCCUGAGCAUCUAACAUGUCACUCCAGUGGAAGGAUAGAUGGAUAGAUGGAUGGGAGGAUAAGUAGAUGGGUGGAUGGGAAGAUAGAUGGAUAAAUGGAAAAUGAAUGGGACUCGACCAAAAAGGAGGAAUGAUUCUAGUGUUCUUUUUCCUGGAAGGACAUUGCCCUGACAUCAUUUGGAGGCCUGAGGGCCUGAACUGACCACUGGAGCUGGUGCGGGUGCUUAGCACACCCCUUGGGUCACAGGAUAUGGGGACUUCAGCACUGCCUCUCCCUUGACUCCUGGCAAAGUGUCAACUCACUAAAUGCAGAGCCUUCUUCCUGGGUCCUAGGGCAACCUGCUGUCCCGGACUGUGGCAGCUAGAGGACAAACAAUGUCUCUGAGCCCUUCCUGGGUUUUCUGCCUCACUGGCAGCCCAGCUUGGGGGCCAGGUGGGUGAGUCACAGGGGUGUUUGCUUACAUGUGUUCAUGUGUCCACCAGAUGCCAUUCAAUAAUAGCACAGCUAUAUCAAUGUG